rnacentral:rRNA from 1 species
UUCCGGUUGAUCCUGCCGGACCCGACUGCUAUUUGGGUGAGAAUAAGCCAUGCGAGUUGAAUGGGAAACCUAAAGUUCCCAUGGCAAACUGCUCAGUAACACAUGAUCAACUUACCCUAUAGAGAAAAAUAACCUCGGGAAACUGAGGAUAAUGUUUCAUAGUUGAAUUGGCUUGGAAAAGUUUUUCGACGAAAGGGGUAAAAAAAAUGGUUUUUAUCUGCUAUAGGAUAGGAUCGUGUUCGAUUAUGGUUGUUGGUGAGGUAAUGGCUCACCAAGCCGAUAAUCGAUAGGGGCCGUGAGAGCGGGAGCCCCGAGAUGGGUACUGAGACAACGACCCAGGCCUUACGAGGCGCAGCAGGCGCGAAACCUCCGCAAUACACGAAAGUGUGACGGGGUUACCCAAAGUGUUCAAUUUUGAACUGUGGUAGGUGAGUAAUGUUCCCUACUAGAAAGGAGAGGGCAAGGCUGGUGCCAGCCGCCGCGGUAAAACCAGCUCUUCAAGUGGUCGGGAUAAUUAUUGGGCUUAAAGUGUCCGUAGCCGGUUUGGUAAGUUCCUGGUAAAAUCGGGUAGCUUAACUAUCUAUAUGCUAGGAAUACUACUAUACUAGAGGGCGGGAGAGGUCUGAGGUACUACAGGGGUAGGGGUGAAAUCUUAUAAUCCUUGUUGGACCACCAGUGGCGAAGGCGUCAGACUGGAACGCGCCUGACGGUGAGGGACGAAAGCCAGGGGAGCGAACCGGAUUAGAUACCCGGGUAGUCCUGGCCGUAAACGAUGCAUACUAGGUGAUGGCACGGCCAUGAGCCGUGUCAGUGCCGUAGGGGAAACCGUUAAGUGUGCCGCCUGGGAAGUACGGUCGCAAGGCUAAAACUUAAAGGAAUUGGCGGGGGAGCACCACAAGGGGUGAAGCCUGCGGUUCAAUUGGACUCAACGCCGG